ACCCUGAUAGGAAGGGUUUGUUUGUUGUUUUUUUGUUUUUUUUACUGAUGUUGUUACUAAAUGAGAAUGGCGACAAGCCCCUUUGACACAAAAAAACGUGAUAUCGAACACUGCAACAGUUGCACAAUCUAAUCAUGUAAAUCAAGAUAAUGAUUGUUUUCUCUAUGUCAUCUCUCUAGUGUUUCUUAGAAAAGUACAAGUUUGCAUCACAAAAGUUCCUCUGAGGUUUUACACAACCCUAAACGUAUUCAAACCCCGUUUAAGUGCUUUUCCCCACUGCUUGAUCCAGACGUAUGCAAUAUACUUUUUUGGCAGUGCUCAUUGAAUGACGUAUACAACAGGCGUGGUAAUAACAAUGAGAACACUAAUAAUUCCAGACUAUACACAGUUUUCACUCCAAAUUGGCUACAGAGCAAAUCAGAAAGGGUGCGGUCAUGGUAUUUAGCGCAUUUGGUUCAAAAUACACAUUGUGGAUGAUCCAUUGACAUUUCUCUCUUUACGCCAUUUCAGUUUCGUUUAUUGUAGUAUCAUUAAGUUUCCUGCCUGUCCGGACCGCUGUGCUUCAUGCGCAAUACACUGAGAAUUUGAGUACAGUACAUAGGAAAUGACUCAUAGGAGUUGAACUGUUAGUGUGGGUGUGUACUCUAUUUAAACAAGGCUCAGACUACUCGGGAUGACUCAGUGCGAGGCUAGCUUUCAAUGGUGAAAACCAACACGGGCUGUUCAUCAGAUGAACUUUCGGGAAUUGCGUUUAUACAAGAACGAUGGCUUCAUACAUUCUCUGUGCGCUUUGUGGACUGAUCAUUGCGACUAUAGUGAAACUAAACGGAGUGAAUGGGCAAAGCCUAUGCACCAGUAAAGAGUUCUGGAGUUCAGACAUAGACCAAUGUGUAUCCUGCUCAACAUGCAAGCAGUAUCCAAAGACCCCUUCAUGUAACACUUGCACAUUUAUAGAGGAGAGAUCUGAUGUCUGGAGACUGGCAGCCAUUUCCAGCUUCUCUGUGCUGGCAGUCGUUCUGCUCAUUGCAGUAUUGAUCAUUGGGGUCAUGGUGCAUCGACGCACGGCAAACAAUAGGCCCCUUCGUGAACCUAUUGAAGAGACAACGGGACCUCUUUACCAAGCUUAAACAUUUCAGUAGCUUCAUCUUCUUUCUGACAUCGAUGUGACAGAACCAAGGGAACACCUUUUGGGGACCAAUCGUCAGAAGAAUUUCUGUACAAUGGACUGUGGGUAUUAUUUGAGUGGAGUUUGACCAUCUUGAAUUUCUACUGCUAGUUAGUAAAGAUGUGCUCACACUCCAUUAGACUGUCACAGAACGGAGCUCUCACAUAGAACUGUGUUGACUCACGCUGUCAAUCCCGUCUUGUCUGAAGUCAGACUGUACUCUGAGGAAGACCGUGUGGUUAGCAAAGAGUAGCUCUCACAGCUCUUUUUGUAUUGAUGUCCUUUGACUAGUGGCUAGUUUUAGCCAGUGUAGAUAUUCCAAUCUAUCGAUAAGUCAUUUGUUCAACAAUAAGUAGGUUCAAAAACAGUAGUGAACAUGAGACACAUCUUGAAUGAUUUGUAUUUAUUACCUUAACUGUCAAUGCUUGAACACCUAUUGGUGUCAGACAUAUUGUACAUUUAGCUUAUUAGGUAGAAUACCAGCUAACACACUGCCUCGACUUGCCACAAGCAGGAUGAAUGUGAAUACAGCACAAUCAAGCUUUCUGGGCCAGGUUUGACCUGCUGUACUUCUAAGACUAAAAGGUUUAUAUUUGCUGGUCAUAUAUAACAACCUCUUGGUGAAGUAUACAAGUGAUAUGUUAGGUGAGUGGUCACCAACCAGUCGAUCGGUUAUAUAAAAUGUAUUUUGAUUUGUUUUAAACUUUUUUUUUGGUUACCACAUGAUUCCAAGUGUUAUUUCCUAGUUUGUCUUCACUAUUAUUCUACAAUGUAGAAAAUAGUCAAAAUAAAGAAACCCUGGAAUGAGUAGGUGUGCCCAAACGUUUGACUGGUACUGUAUAGAAUUUCCUGAGCUUUCUUAUAUCUUCUAGAUAUAGGACAAACACGUAACCUUGUUUCUUAUUAUUUAUUUUUUGAAUGUCUUUUUGCCAUUUAUGAAUGUGUUAUUCAGUAUCUCUCUGGGCUAUAGUAGUAAAGGCCAAAUUCAAUAUUAUAUCAAAUGUUUUUAUUUAUUUUUAUACCUAAAGGGGUCCUAAAAUUCAAAAUCAAAUAUCUAAAUGAGCCACCUCAUGGAAUCAUUUUAAGAUGAUCAUAGGUCAGCGUAGAACCCACCCCACCCCAAGCAAUGCAGAGAAAAAAAAAA